GGCCCGCUAGCUCAACUGGCAGAGCAACUGACUCUUAAUCAGUAGGUUCUCGGUUCGAGUCCGAGGCGGGUCA
rnacentral:tRNA from 1 species